rnacentral:rRNA from 1 species
CUGGUGAAGGGCCCAACGUCAGGCCGCCGGAGGCCGUGCCUGGCCGUAUCGCCGAACACGACGCGGCACGCGAACAACGCCAGCCGGUCGAUCAUCCAGACGGGCAGGUAGGCGAACAGCGCCGUGGACGCGUUCAUGAUCUCCCUCGUCAUGAGGUGGAGCUCGCCGCGGACGACGAUGGAGGCCGCGGCGCCGGCCUGGACCAGGUCCAGGGCGAUCUCCAUUCCAGAGUUGCCGCAGCCGACGACGAGCACUUCCUUUCCCCGCAUCCCCUCGCCGGACCGGUACUCGCCGGCGUGGAUGGCCUCGCCAUGGAACGUGUCCAGCCCGGGCACCUCGGGCAGCACCUUCUCGUCGAACUCCCCCGUGGCCACCACCAGGAACCUCGCCGUGUACUGCUCCGCAUCGCCGGUGGCGAGGUUGACGGCCUCCACCUCCCACCGGCCGUCCACGAAGCGCGCCGAGCGGACCUCGCGGCGGAGGCGGAGGCGCGCGCGCACGGCGAAGCGGUCGGCAUAG